UUUUUGGUAGAAGUAGUAGUGCACGUAAAAUACGUAUUUUACGUAAAAUACCUCGAGUGACGCAAGCCAGUUGUGAACAGUUGUGAAUUGUCGUGAAUAGUUGUAGUACACAAGAGGUUUUCAUUGUGAUCUAUCUUUCAAAGCACAAGAGAAAAUGUCGAAGAAACCAGGUGCUACUCAAGCGUUGCACAAAAUAAUCAUGGUUGGAAGUGGAGGUGUUGGAAAAUCUGCUCUCACUCUACAAUUCAUGUAUGCCGAGUUUGUCGAGGAUUAUGAGCCGACAAAAGCAGAUUCUUAUAGAAAAACAGUUGUAUUAGACGGCGAGGAAGUACAAAUAGAUAUUUUGGAUACUGCUGGACAGGAAGAUUAUGCAGCUAUUAGAGAUAACUAUUUUCGAAGUGGAGAAGGAUUUCUCUGUGUUUUUUCAAUUACAGAAGACGACAGUUUCCAAGCCACACAAGAAUUCAGGGAACAAAUACUCAGAGUAAAAAACGACGAAAACAUUCCCUUUUUAUUAGUGGGAAACAAAAGUGAUCUCCAGGAAAAAAGAAAAGUUUCAUUGGCCGAGGCUCAAGCAAGAGCACAACAAUGGGGCGUUCCUUAUGUUGAGACUAGUGCAAAAACAAAAGAAAAUGUCGACAAGAAAUUGCAUGGAUUGCGCAUUUUCAGGUAUUUUUCGACUUGAUGCGUGAGAUACGAUCACGCAAAAUUGAGGACAAAUCGGCGAGUAAUGGUCGUGGAAAGGAUCGAGCGAAGAGGAAGAAAAAGAAGUGCAUUAUUUUAUAGGUAUUUUUUGACUUGAUGCGAGCAAUAGCUGCUCGUAAGGCACACGAGAACCAAGGAGAAGCAAGUGACGGCAAAAAUGAAACGAAAUGUUGCACUCUACUUUAACAAAUCUUCAAAUAAGUAACCACAGACUUUGCGAGAUUUUUUUACACACGCCUCCCCAUUGGCAAAACCAAUUUUUGUGCAUAUAAAAUAAUACGUGUGACUUGUAUACCAAAAAAACAGAUUUUCUACCACUUUACAGUGAUUUACAAAAGUGCGAUUUUUUUUAUACACACCCGGUGAUGAAAAGUACCAAAGUCACCAAAAGUUAAAUCAUUGAAAAAAGACUAUUUUGUAAGAGAAAAAAAAAACUGGGAGAACUUUGUGGUACCUUACUUCUUUUCUUUCUUUUUUUUUUUCUAAAAACAUUCCCGGUGCUAAUAAAUAGUGUCUCUCAAAUCAUUAUAGUUCCUAUUUUAUAAGGAGUAUUAUUGUUAAUGAAAAAAAAACAAUUUUUUAACAAAAAUAAUAAUAAUUGACGCAUUUUGUUAAAAAAAAGUCUGUGAAUCAUUUUUUAAGUUUAGAGUGCUGAAGAAUUUUCGUUUUUAAUUAUUAUUUAAAAGAAGAAACAAUAUUUUCGUGUUCUUUUUUUGUUUUGGUAGAUAAUAAUAUAAAUUAUUCUCGUUUCAUUGAUAUUUGUAAGAAUUCUUUUUGAAAAUAAAUUAAUUGUUAUUUAUUUAUAGA